rnacentral:lncRNA from 1 species
AUAUAAUAUAGGGAAUGUUUUAAAAAAGCAGAGUUGAAAGGUGGGUCUCCUUGCUUCACACAAAAUGCUCCAACUUUAAAUCUGAAACCAAAACAAUUGCAGUUGUGAAUCAAAUUUCCAAAUUUGCAAUAAAGUGCUGAUGGAGUAAAACAUAUUUUUUUUUGUUACAUUUUGUAAUUUAAUUUAAGAGUUUAACCUGGGUUAAAUUGACCCUACAAAUAAAAUUCAAUAAACAUAAAAUACAAAAUAAUUUUUACAAUAAUAAUAAUGUUGCUAAAAUAUUUAAUAAGGAGCAAGGUGUAGUGGCUCAAUGGAGGCUGGUUUAUCUAAAGAGGCGGAGAGCAAAAAAAGACAAAAAGAUAAAGAGAGAGCUGAGGAGGAUAAGUGUUCAAAAGGUUGCUUAAGGGUUCAAAAAGGUCGAUCCCUUAUUCAUCGUUGUGAGGGCAUUUAUACGGGAGAUCAUCUUGUCUACUAAUGUGACAUGGCAAGAUAAGUGAUCAUCGCCAUGAGGUGCAAAAAAGAUAGGCAUAAUGAGACCCAUUUUAUUAUUCAAUUCAAUCAGUAGAGGUUGUUAUGCUUAGGUGCGACCUAUGGUCUUUAAGGAUGUGUUCAAACCUAAAAAGUGGGUGCCUUUCAAGAAUGUCAGCUAAGCGGGUGAAUUGUCUAUGGCAACAAGAGGUCCAUGUUUAUCAGAAGGGAGUAAUUAGUUGGGCUCCUCUGUUGAGAAUAGGGGCUAGAUGAAUAGCAAGGUUUCGUAAAGGCUGACUAUUGACCGCUAGGACCUCCGAGUGGAGUCGGAGAAUUGGUCAUGGGUGCCCCCUAGGUAGCCUGUCAUGCCUCUUUAGGUUAACUGACCUCCAUCAAACCACCACACCUUCCUCAUUGUUCUCCUCCCUAUUGAACAUUAUAUCAACAAAUAAUAAUUUCUUGACUUGACUUGACUGGACUGAUAGUUAAAGCUCUUGUUAAACAUUUGUUUGGCAUGAGUUUGAACCAUGUUACCACAUCCUUAAUAAUAACAAUAAGGGUAAAUUACACCAACAAUUACUCAAUUUUGAUGUAGCUAACAAAGUAGUCACUCUAAUUUCAACUCAAUUACUCAACUUUCGAAAAAUAACUAAUCUGUCUCUAACGUUAUCAAAAAGUGACAAAUCAGUCACCCAUUAACAUUAACCCUCACAGGCUUAACUGAACCGCUAACUUGGCCAGCUAACUAGCCAUGUUAGACGAGGCAAAGUUAAGUAACUGUUUUUUUUUGUCCUUCCUUUUCUAUUUUUAAUAAAUGACCCAAUAUUUUUUACUUUUGACGUACAUGGCCCAAUAUGCGUAAUACCCCUACCCGUAUUCAUUAUCGGAAUAGGGUACGAGGCAUUACCGGAGUUUACGAAUUAAAUUUUUUUUUUAUAUUCAAUAUAGCCCUUUUAUAAAUAUCUAACAUUCCCUGUAAUAUUAAAUCGAGACCAAUCCACAUCAACCAAAUCAAUUCAACAUAUUUUCAUGAUAGAUUCAUGCAUUUAUAUAAGAUAACGUCAUCACAUAUCUAUAACCAGGUUUGUUAACCAUACUAAUGGCUAACUUUACAUUCAUUUCACAUUAACAUUUACUUAGUUAGCUUAUACAUGCCAUUGAUUUCCAAAAUAAAGUUUCUUUAUAUACCAAAAUCCUGAGGUUGACAGUGUGAUAUGUCUCCGACCAAAUCCAACCUCCGAGCUCUUAACACUAUAAAACAGGGAAAAAGGAAACGGGGUAAGCACUUUGUGCUUAGUAAGCUCAUGUAACAAGAAUUAUACUUACCUAAUAUUUUCAAUACAAUAUAAUAAACAUUCAUAUAUCCAUUCAAUGCAUUAUUACCCUAACAUGCACAAACUCAACAUUCAAGUUAGUACAAUAAUUUCCAUGUAUCAAUAAUAUAUAUACCAUGAUUGAUGAGCUCGUCAAUACCAUGAUUUCCAUUUCCUUGUUAUUUUUCCAUAUUUAUCCCGUUGAAUUUAUUGGAAUUUCAAUGGAUUUUCAGAGGUACACUUUUAGUGUACAAUUCCGGGUCCGUCAAUUCAUAUUUAUGUGCGCACAUUUCCAUUUCAGAGAGCACACUCCCGCGAACCUCAACCUUGCAGCGGGAUUACCAGUCCAGGCUAAAUCCCCUGCAAUAUAAACUCAUAGAGUAUUGUCGGGAUUACCAGUCCAGGCUAAAUCCCCUGCAACGACAAUUACUCUAAUGAGCUUGGAUCUGAAUUACCAGCCCAGGCUAAAUUCAGACCCUAAUUCGGAUUACCCGUCCGGGCUAAAUCCAUUUUACACAUAUUCUUCGGGAGGGCUAUAUCAGGAUAGGAUCACCCGUCCGGGCUAGAUCCUUUUUACCGUCAAUUCCUUUUCAGAGAUCCAUCGAAUUUUCCUUUCAUUCAAUCGGGAUUUCUUCCCAUUUUAUCAAAUAUAUCAAUGUUUCAUUAAUUUUCAUACAAUGAACACUCAAAUCAUAUUCACAUCAAUAACAUACAAUCUCAAGCAUUUAAGAAUAUAAUUCAAGUUACACGAACUUACCUUGAUACUUGUUUGUAAACAGUAAAAAUCUACUAAUCCCGAACUUUUUCUUUCCUCGAUCUAGCUUCGUAUUUGAAUCUUCUAGAUCUAAAUAAAUAAAUUUAAUUAUCAAUUUAAUACAUUUCAUGUUCAUCUGCAACAUUCUCUAUAAUUCAACUAUUAUUUAUAGUUCAUUCAGAGCUGUCUACUUGAGUCAUAGUCACUAAAUUAUUUAUAACUUCAGCUACGGAACUCCAAAUUAAGAUCCGUUAAUUUUCCCUGAAACUAGACUCAUAUAUAUUUUUACCAUAAAGUUUUCAGAAUUUUUGGUUUAGCCAAUCAGUACAGUUUAUUCUUCAAAGUCACCCCUGUUUUGUUGUCUAACAGUUCUGACCCUUCUUCACUAAAAAUAAAUUAUCUCUUUAUACAGAAUUCAAAUAAUGUUCUUGUUUGUUUCUAUUAAAAAUAGACUCAUUCAGAAUUCUAGACAUAUAAAUUUAAGUCCCUAAUUUUUUUUAUUCAAUUUUUUUAUAAAUUUUCAAAAUCAGAACAGGGGAACCCGAAUUCAUUCUGACCUUGUCUCACAAAAUUCAUUAUAUCUCAAAAUUUACAAAUCCAUUGCUUACAAUAUUUCUUCUAUGAGAAACUAGACUCAAUAAGCUUUAAUUUCAUAUUUUGUUCAUCUUCUAAUUCGAUUCAUAAAAUUUUUGGUGAUUUUUCAAAGUUAGUCUACUGAUGCUGUCCAAACUGUUUUAGUGCAAGCUGUUUAUUACCAUUUUUCCCCUAAGCUUUUAAUAAAUGAUAAUUUCAUCCCUACUCAAUUAGCCUCUCAAUUGAGCUGAUUUUUCUCAAUUAAUGUUUUAUUCUAUCACCUCAAACUAGUUUAAAACCUUUAGGAAUCAUAAUUUCAGCAAUAGACUUUAAUUCCAAACAUUUUCACAAUUAGGUCCUAAAAAAUCAAUUUCCAUUGAAAUUCCUAAUAAAAUCAUCUCAUAAACAAAUUAAAGCUUUAAUUUCAUUCUAUUUCAUCAUAAACUUACAGCACUCAACCAUGGUGACUUUCAAUUUCAUCCAUGAAAUCAAAAACUAAUGAAUUUAAUAGUAGGACCUAGUUGUAAAAGUCUUAGAAACACAAAAAUUACAAGAAAAAGGCAAGGAUUAACUCACUUGGUGCAAAAAUUAUGAAAUACCAGCUUAGAGAACCCUCCUAUGGCGUUUUUAGCUGCUGGAAUUGAAGAGAAAUGAAGAGAAAUCUAGAUAUUUCCUAUUUAGUCCUAUUUUUAUUUAGUUAAUUUUGCAAUAUUCCAAUUUUACCCUUAAUUUAUCAAUUUUUCUGCUGAUUUCAUGCCCUUGCCGUCCAGCCCAAAUAACUUUUGGGUCUAAUUGCCUUUAAAUCCUUUCUCAUUAGACUCUUAAGCUAUUUAAUCACUCUAGCAACUUUUACACCUAUUACAAUUUAGUCCUUUUUAUUUAAUUGACUACCCAAACAUUAAAAUUUCCUAACGAAAUUUUAAUACCACACUAAUAACAUUUCAUAAAUAUUUAUGAAAUUAUUUUUGACUCGGUUUUACGAGAUAGAGGUCUCGAUACCUUGUUUUUACCCAAUUUCUUCAAUAAUUUCUUUUUCUAUCUAAUCACUAAAUUGGUAAAAUUUUUCUAUCAAUAUUUUCAUACAAUUUUUCUAUCAUAUCAAUUUUCAAGAAAAAAUAUUGAAAUAAAUUUCUCUUUAAAUCGGAUCUAUGGUUACGAAACCAUUGUUCCGAUAACAUUAAAUUUAGGCCAUUACAACUCUCCCCCCCUUUUAAGGAUUUUCGUCCUCGAAAAUCUUACCAGUAAAGAGGUUUGGGUAUUGUUUCCUCAUUGCCUCCUCCGGUUCCCAUGUUGCUUCCUCAAUCCCGUGCUUUUGCCACAAUACUUUCACCAAAUUUAUCUUUUUAUUUCUAAGCUCUUUUGUCUCCCGUGCCAAUAUCUUGACCGGUUCUUCACUGUAAGUCAUAUCCGGUUGAAUCUCUACUUCUAUCGGAGAAAUAACAUGUGAAGGAUCUGAUCGAUAUCGUCGUAACAUAGAUACAUGAAAAACAUUAUGGAUUCUAUCAAGUUCCGGUGGUAAUGCCAAUCGAUAAGCGAACGGUCCAAUUCUUUCUAUGAUUUCAUAGGGCCCGAUAAAUCUUGGACUCAAUUUACCCUUUCGACCGAAUCGAAGAAAUUUCUUCCAAGGAGACACUUUCAGAAAUACCUUGUCACCGACUUGAAAUUCAAUCUCUUUUUGCUUAAGGUCGGCAUAUGAUUUUUGACAAUCGGAAGCUACUUUUAGACUAUCUCGAAUAACCUUUACUUUUUCUUCUGUUUCCCGGAUCAAAUCAACCCCAUGUAUCUUCCUUUCACUGAGCUCUAUCCAAUAUAACGGUGUUCUACAUUUUCUACCAUACAAAGCUUCAUACGGAGCCAUUUUAAUACUGGACUGAUAACUAUUAUUGUAAGCAAAUUCAAUCAAAGGUAGAUACCUCUCCCAAUUACCUUCAAACUCUAGUAUACAACAUCGGAGCAUAUCUUCCAAUACUUGAAUUACACGCUCAGAUUGACCAUCUGUCUGAGGAUGAAAUGCAGUGCUGAAAUACAAUUGAGUACCCAAAGCUUCUUGCAAUUUGUCCCAGAAACGAGACGUAAAUUGGGGAUCUCUAUCUGAUAUAAUGGAGACAGGUACUCCAUGUAACCUGACAAUCUCAGAUAUGUACAGUUCAGCUAGUUUAUCUAAAGAAUAAUCCAUACGUACCGGAAUAAAGUGAGCUGACUUUGUUAACCGAUCAACAAUCACCCAAAUAGUAUCUUUUUUCCUCGGAGACAAAGGUAGCCCCGAUACAAAAUCCAUAGUGAUUAUUUCUCAUUUCCAUUCCGGUAUAGUGAUUGGCUGAAGUAACCCCGAAGGUACCUGAUGUUCAGCUUUAACUUGUUGACAUAUUAAACACCUUGAUACAAACUCAGAGAUAUCACGUUUCAUUCCUGACCACCUGUACAUCUUUUUUAGAUCAUUAUACAUUUUAUUACUCCCCGGAUGUACAGAUAUAAUACCGCUGUGAGCCUCGCGUAGAAUCUUCUGUAUGAGCUCUGAAUUCUGAGGUACACAUACCCUACCUCUGAAUAAUAAACAACCAUCAGAACCAAUCUGAAAUUCAGAAUCAUUACCUGACUCACACUGUGCCCGUUUAACUUGUAACUUCUCAUCAUUCUUCUGAGCUUCACAUAUUUGCUGUAAAAAUUUCGGUUUAGCUCUAAAUUCAGCUAGGAUUGAACCAUCAUCAGUCAAUGAUAACCGGGUAUUCAUAGCUCGUAAAGCAAACAGAGAUUUCCGGCUCAAAGCAUCAGCUACAACAUUAGCCUUACCCGGAUGGUAAUCAAUAAUCAAAUCAUAGUCCUUUAUCAGUUCAAGCCACUUGCGCUGUCUCAAAUUCAAAUCUUUCUGUGUCAUCAAAUAUUUCAAGCUUUUAUGAUCAGUAUAAAUAUGACAUUUCUCACAAUACAAGUAAUGCCACCAUAUCUUCAUCGCAAAUACAAUAGCAGCUAAUUCAAGAUCAUGUACUGGUAAUUUCUUUCAUGUGGUUUAAGUUGUCUUGAAGCAUAGGCUAUUACUUUGCCUUCUUGCAUCAAAACACAACCUAAACCAUUUAAUGAGGCAUCACUAUAAAUAACAAAUUCCUUACCCGGUUCAGGCUGCACUAAUACAGGUGCUUUCGUUAAUAGGUCUUUCAAUCGGUUGAAACUUUGUUGACAUUCAUCAGUGCAGUCGAACUUUACAUCUUUCUGCAAUAAUCGAGUCAUUGGAGAAGCUAUCAUAGAGAAUCCCUGUACAAACCUCCGAUAAUAACCAACUAAACCCAAGAAACUUCUAACUUCAGAUACAUUCUUCGGUGGACUCCAAUUGACAAUAGCUGAGAUUUUACUUGGAUCUACCCUGAUGCCUUCGGCAGAUACAAUGUGUCUAAGAAAACCCACUUCUCGAAGCCAAAAUUCACAUUUACUGAAUUUAGCAUACAACUGCUUCUCUCGUAGAAUUUGUAACACAAUUCUCAAAUGUUCUGCAUGUUCUUCUUCAUCCCGAGAAUAAACAAAAUAUCAUCAAUGAAUACUACUACAAAUCUGUCUAAGUACGGUCUGAAUAUCCGAUUCAUCAAAUCCAUGAAUACUGCAGGUGCAUUAGUUAGCCCAAACGGCAUAACUAGAAACUCAUAAUGCCCGUACCUAGUUCUAGAGGCUGUUUUUGGCACAUCUGACUCCUUUACCCGUAACUGAUAAUAACCUGAUCAAAGAUCAAUCUUUGAAAACAUAGUAGCACCUUUCAGCUGAUCAAAUAAAUCAUCAAUCCGGGGUAACGGGUACUUAUUCUUUAUGGUUACUUUAUUAAGUUGCCGGUAGUCGAUACACAAUCUCAAAGACCCAUCUUUCUUUUUCACAAACAGAACCGGAGCACCCCAAGGUGAAUGACUCGGUCGGACAAAACCCAUGUCAACAAGCUCUUGCAACUGUGUCUUUAACUCUUUUAAUUCUAUAGGAGCCAUCCGGUACGGAGCUAUGGAGAUCGGAGUAGUUCCCGGAAUCAAAUCUAUAGAAAAUUCCACUUCUCUUUCUGGUGGCAAUCUUGGUAAUUCUUCUGGAAACACAUCGAAAAAUUCACAUACCACUGGAACUGCCUGUAUCUUUGACUCAGAUACCUUAGUGUCGAGUACAUAAGCCAAGUAAGCAUUAUACCCCUUUUUGACAUACCUCUGUACUGCCAUUACUGAAAUCAUAUCAGAUAACCCCUCUAUCUGAUCAGAUUUAACUCGGAGCAACUCACCAUUCUGACAUUUUAGCACAAUAUAUUUUUGUCUACAAUUUAUUACCGCAUCAUGCUGGGUUAACCAAUCCAUGCCCAAUAUCACGUCAAAUUCAUCAAAUGGCAGUAACAUCAAAUCAGCCGAGAAACAAUAACCUCUUACCAUCAAUGGACAAUUUUUACAAAUUUUAUCCACUAACACAGACUGGCCCAGGGGGUUCGAGACUUUAACCACAAAUUCAAUAGGUUCAACAGAUAAAUUUUUAACAAUUGCAAGUUUAACACAUAUAUAUGAAUGCGUAGAACUAGGAUCAAUCAAUGCAGUAAUAUCAGUAUCAAGUAAAGAAAAUGUACCAGUAAUAACAUCGGGUGCUGAGGCAUCUUCUCUGGCACGAAUGGCAUAUGUCCUAGCAGGUGCUCGUGCCUCAGGCCUACCUGCAGUAUCUUUUGUAGCUCCUCAACAACCACUGACAUUACCGGAUGGUCGAGGUGGUCUACCUCUCGAAACUGGAUUACUCAGCUUCGAUAUCUGUUCAGCUUCUUUUUCACCCCUUUCUAGACAAUCUCUGAGGAAAUAGUCAAAAGAACCACAUCGGUAACAAGCCCCACACUUAAAUCGGCAUUCACCAAAAUGAGCUUUAUUACAGUACUGGCAUCUCGGUUUAGGAGUGCCAACACUGCCAACACUGGUCACUGAUGGAGUAGAAGGCCUUGGAUUAGUGCGUUGAGAACUUCGCUCUUUGCCCAAAUACCCAAUGGUUGAAGUAGAACGAUCCUGAUAUUUCUUCAAUUUCUUUGAAGCAGAAAACUGAGAUUUUCCCAUCGGUCUUUUACUAAAAAUUCGAGCUUUCCUCUCAGCGUGUUUCUUUUCUUUGUUCAAUUCUUCUGCUUUAUAAGCUCUCUCUGCCAAUGUAGCAAACUCUCGAAUUUCAAGAAUUCUGAUCAGUAACUUAAUGUCUUCAUUCAACCCUUCUUCGAAUCGUUUGCACAUUUCAGCUUCUGACUGUACCCAUUCUCGAGCAUAUUUACUCAAUCGAACAAAUUCUCUUUCAUAUUCAGAUACUGAUCUAUUGUCCUGUUUCAGCUCAAGAAAUUCUUUUCUUUUCUGGUCAUGGAACCUCUAGCUGAUAUAUUUUUUUCUGAACUCGGUCUGAAAGAAUUCUCAUGUAAUUUCUUCUUUCGGAACAACUGAAGCUUUAGUAUUCCACCAAUGGUAAGCUGUAUCUUUUAGCAAUGAGACGGCACAUUUCAGACAUUCUUCUGGUGUACAAGAUAAUUCUUCCAGAACCCGAGUAGUGUUUUCUAACCAGAAUUCAGCCCGUUCGGAAUCAUCAUCAACUGCUGCUCGAAAUUCUUCGGCCCCAUAUUUUCGAAUUUUAUCUACUGGAGCUUUCCCUUUUCUGACAGAUUCAGUACCUGUACCUUGUGGGAUCUCGGGAACCGGUGGAGGAGCAGGAAGGGGAACUUGAACUUGCUCCACUACAAGGUUAGUUCUUAGGUAUUGAUUAAACCAUUCAUUCAUCAUUUGAAAGAAGGCUAUUUUUGCCUCCUCCCCUCGACCCUCUGUCUCGGGCCUUCUACUGCUAGUUUCUUCUCUUUGUACUAAAUCCGGAGCAUGACUCCCAGCUUCCUCAGAUUGAGCUCGGUCGGAUGACAUUACUAUAAGAAAAACACAUUUUAAAUGGUCAAGAGAUAUCACACUAUCAAUAAUAAUUUAAAUGGCAUGUAUAGCUAAUCCCGUAUUUGCUACAUCGAUCCUAGAACCGGCUAAACCGUAGCUCUGAUACCAAUAAAUGUAAUACCCCUACCCGUAUUCAUUAUCGGAAUAGGGUACGAGGCAUUACCGGAGUUUACAAAUUAAUUUUUUUUAUAUUCAAUAUAGCCCUUUUAUAAAUAUCUAACAUUCCCUGUAAUAUUAAAUCGAGACCAAUCCACAUCAACCAAAUCAAUUCAACAUAUUUUCAUGAUAGAUUCAUGCAUUUAUAUAAGAUAACGUCAUCACAUAUCUAUAACCAGGUUUGUUAACCAUACUAAUGGCUUACUUUACAUUCAUUUCACGUUAACAUUUACUUUGUUAGCUUAUACAUGCCAUUGAUUUCCAAAAUAAAGUUUCUUUAUAUGCCGAAAUCCUGAGGUUGACAGUGUGAUGUGUCUCCGACCAAAUCCGACCUCCGAGCUCUUAACACUAUAAAACAGGGAAAAAGGAAACGGGUAAGCACUUUGUGCUUAGUAAGCUCAUGUAACAAGAAUUAUACUUACCUAAUAUUUUCAAUACAAUAUAAUAAACAUUCAUAUAUCCAUUCAAUGCAUUAUUACCCUAACAUGCACAAACUCAACAUUCAAGUUAGUACAAUAAUUUCCAUGUAUCAAUAAUAUAUAUACCAUGAUUGAUGAGCUCGUCAAUACCAUGAUUUCCAUUUCCUUGUUAUUUUUUCAUAUUUAUCCCGUUGAAUUUAUCGGAAUUUUCAUGGAUUUUCAGAGGUACACUUUUAGUGUACAAUUCCGGGUCCGUCAAUUCAUAUUCAUGUGCGCACAUUUCCAUUUCAGAGAGCACACUCCCGCGAACCUCAACCUUGCAGCGGGAUUACCAGUCCAGGCUAAAUCCCCUGCAAUAUAAACUCAUAGAGUAUUGUCGGGAUUACCAGUCUAGGUUAAAUCCCCUGCAACGACAAUUACUCUAAUGAGCUUAGAUCUGAAUUACCAGUCCAGGCUAAAUUCAGACCCUAAUUCGGAUUACCCGUCCGGGCUAAAUCCAUUUUACACAUAUUCUUCGGGAGGGCUAUAUCAGGAUAGGAUCACCCGUCCGGGCUAGAUCCUUUUUACCGUCAAUUCCUUUUCAGAGAUCCAUCGAAUUUUCCUUUCAUUCAAUCGGGAUUUCUUCCCAUUUUAUCAAAUAUAUCAAUGUUUCAUUAAUUUUCAUACAAUGAACACUCAAAUCAUAUUCACAUCAAUAGCAUACAAUCUCAAGCAUUUAAGAAUAUAAUUCAAGUUACACGAACUUACCUUGAUACUUGUUUGUAAACAGUAAAAAUCUACUAAUCCCGAACUUUUUCCUUUCCUCGAUCUAGCUUCGUAUUUGAAUCUUCUAGAUCUAAAUAAAUAAAUUUAAUUAUCAAUUUAAUACAUUUCAUGUUCAUAUGCAACAUUCUCUAUAAUUCAACUAUUAUUUAUAGUUCAUUCAAAGCUGUCUACUUGAGUCAUAGUCACUAAAUUAUUUAUAACUUGAGCUACGAAACUCAAAAUUAAGAUCCAUUAAUUUUCUCUGAAACUAGACUCAUAUAUAUUUUUACCAUAAAGUUUUCAGAAUUUUUGGUUUAGCCAAUCAGUACAGUUUAUUCUUCAAAGUCACCCCUGUUCUGUUGUCUAACAGUUCUGACCCUUCUUCACUAAAAAUAAAUUAUCUCUUUAUACAGAAUUCAAAUGAUGUUCUCGUUUAUUUCUAUUAAAAAUAGACUCAUUCAUAAUUCUAGACAUGUAAAUUUAAGUCCCUAAUUUUUUUAAUUCAAUUUUUUUAUAAUUUUUCAAAAUCAGAACAGGGGAACCCGAAUUCAUUCUGACCUUGUCUCACAUAAUUCAUUAUAUCUCAAAAUUUACAAAUCCAUUGCUUACAAUAUGUCUUCCAUGAGAAACUAGACUCAAUAAGCUUUAAUUUCAUAUUUUGUUCAUCUUCUAAUCCGAUUCCUACAAUUUUUGGUGAUUUUUCAAAGUUAGUCUACUGCUGCUGUCCAAACUGUUUUAGUGCAAGCUGUUUAUUACCAUUUUUCCCCUAAGCUUUUAAUAAAUGAUAAUUUCGUCCCUACUCAAUUAGCCUCUCAAUUGAGCUGAUUUUUCUCAAUUAACAUUUUAUUCUAUCACCUUAAACUAGUUUACAACCUUUAGGAAUCAUAAUUUCAGCAAUAGACUUUAAUUCCAAACAUUUUCACAAUUAGUUCCUAAAAAUCAAUUUCCAUUGAAAUUGCCUAAUAAAAUCAUCUCAUAAACAAAUUAAAGCUUUAAUUUCAUUCUAUUUCAUCAUAAACUUACAGCACUCAACCAUGGUGACUUUCAAUUUCAUCCAUGAAAUCAAAAACUAAUGAAUUUAAUAGUAGGACCUAGUUGUAAAAGUCUUAGAAACACAAAAAUUACAAGAAAAAGGUAAGGAUUAACUCACUUGGUGCAAAAAUUAUGAAAUAUCAGCUUAGAGAACCCUCCUAUGGCGUUUUUAGCUGCUGGAAUUGAAGAGAAAUGAAGAGAAAUCUAGAUAUUUCCUAUUUAGUCCUAGUUUUAUUUAGUUAAUUUUGUAAUAUUCCAAUUUUACCCUUAAUUUAUCAAUUUUUCUGCUGAUUUCAUACCCUUGCCGUCCAGCCCAAAUAACUUUUGGGUCUAAUUGUCUUUUAAAUCCUUUCUCAUUAGACUCUUAAGCUAUUUAAUCACUCUAGCAACUUUUACACCUAUUACAAUUUAGUUCUUUUUAUUUAAUUGACUACCUAAACAUUAAAAUUUCCUAACGAAAUUUUAAUACCACACUAAUAACAUUUCAUAAAUAUUUAUGAAAUUAUUUUAACUCGGUUUUAUGAGAUAGAGGUCUCGAUACCUUGUUUUUACCCAAUUUCUUCAAUAAUUUCUUUUUCUAUCUAAUCACUAAAUUGGUAAAAUUUUUCUAUCAAUAUUUUCAUACAAUUUUCCUAUCAUAUCAAUUUUCAAGCAAAAAUAUUGAAAUAAAUUUCUCUUUAAAUCGGAUCUAUGGUUACGAAACCAUUGUUCCGAUAACCUUGAAUUUAGGCCAUUACAAUAUAUUUAUACUUCUUCUUCUCUAUCCCAAGAAUCUCGCUAUCGACACCUCCGCUACAACCAUCUUUGACGUCACCAUCAUUGACCUCCAAACCACCACUCUAUCCUUUUUUUUCUUUUUCAACCCACCCAAUAGAUGAGCCACCACCAUUGGGAUCCGACUCUCUUUUUCUGUUGCCCAAAGGUAUUAACUCUGAAAAAAUCAUAUCGAAAUGGGAUUGGAGACAAUUUGGGGUCAAACUAUUAGUCCCCACAACCAAAUCGGUGAGAAGAAAAUCCUUCAAAGCAACAUUAGCAAGUCUAGGAUUGAUAUGGUAUAAACAAAAGGGUUGUCGAUUAAACUAAACAACACUAACUCCAUUGCCAACAUUAUCAAGUUGCAUAAAAUAAAGUUAGAAGCAAAACAAUGGGAACAUUAAGACAAACCAAACAACCGAUUGAACCAACGAUUUUCAGGAACAAAGGAAGUGGUUCCUCUAAAGGGACAGCCAAAUGCCGACAAGUGAAAUUUUGGGUCGAGUCAAUGAUUAGCAAGAUCCCAAAGUCGAAAUUGAACUAGGUGUUGUAGCAAAGGAGGAUGAGAGAUGGAUCAGAAGAAAAGCGACAGAGAUGGUUGAUGACGAAAAUUGGGGUCGAGGUGAGGUAAGCCCAAUUCUUGGAAAGAGAUUUGAAUUGGGUCACAGACCUAAGGGGCAAUCUGGAAAGGAUAUCGAUGCAAUUGAAAAAUCAGUCAAGCUAUAAGGCUAUGCAAAGAGAUAUAAUAAUUUUUUAUAUAUGCUAUAAGGCUACACAAAGAGAUAAAAGAUUAUGAUAAUUUUUAUAUUUAAAAAUGUAACGAUGAAGUCAAGCUUAUGUUUGUUUGUAGGGUAAUUAUUUGAUACACUAUUUGUAAAAAAAUUUAAACUUCACAAGUGGAUUAAGAGUAUUACAAAUGCUACAUUUAUUUAUAUAUUUUUUUAUUUUUUAUUACACCUUAAAAUAUACUUCUCAAAUCCUCAACUUGCUUGUAGAGUUUAAAACAAUCUACGCAUGAUAUAUGAAAUAAAUUUCCUUAUUUGUAACUUCGGUAACUUCAAACUUUGUUUUUUUAAAAUAAUCUAUGUAAUAAAAUAUAUAUAUAUAAACAUGAGUUUAAAGAAAUAUUUAAAUUAAUAUAUCAAUAUUUUUAAGUAUUAUUAUUUUAAAUAAUAUUAUUUUACAUUAAAUAAAAUUAUAUAAUUUAAUAAACUUAAAUAUAUAAAAUAAUGUGCAAGAGAUAUACACUCCAACACUUCAAAUGUUUCCUUGUAACGCGAACCAUACUGAUCCACACUGAAAUCAUUGUCACAUAAAAGGUUGAAUUAAUUUUUUUUAGUAAAUGAUGAUUUUUUGGGUACUAAUUUUUAGGCUAACGGAAGUUUUUUCGUUGAUGAAUUUUUUGGGUAAAUAUUUUUUUCGAAUUCCUUUUGUUCAUUUUGAUAAGUAAAUAAUUUUUUGUUAUGCUUUACUUAAUUUUGAAAAAUAAAAAGAAAAAGAAAAUAUUAAAUAAAAAACUGAAAAAAAGGAAAAUUUUCAAUUUAUAUAAUUUGGGGAAGAAAUAUAUAUUUUUUAAAAUAAUUUUGUAUAUUUUUAUUUUUAAAAGUAAAAUAUUUAAAAUUUCUCCAGUGAUUAUCCAAUCCAAUUUCAUGGAAGCUGAUACUAAACAUAUCCCAGGAAAGAGAGCAGCUGAAUCCAAUCACUUUUGCAGACAAAUACAGAUACAAAAAGCAUAGAUAAAUCACCUGUGCUCAUUCUCAUCUAGCACCUCUACUCCGUUAACCAAAAUCUACACGUCUCCUCUAAAAGCAGCCGUCUGAUGUUCACGCCCCAUCCUGAUUAGAUUCUCUCAGAAUUAUUUCGAAACCUGUUCACACCAACAAUCCUGGAACCAAUACUGAAAGCCACGUCACCCCGAGAAGAAGCAUGGCAAAGUUGUAAUAUAAGGGAAUAUAAAGGGCAAACUGGCAAACCAAAAUUAUGUUUUGUUUAUGUUAUAUGUGUCAGCGGACGCCAAACAAAUUCAAAUUCAGCAGAAUCUUUUUAUUUUAUUUUAUUUUUCUUAUGUUUAUUUUUUUCGAAGACCGAAAAAACACAGUGCAGAGAGGACCAUUUUUUUUUUCUCUUUUUCUUUCGUCCCAAUCAUGUUAGAUUUUCUCUCACUAAUAUAGUACAUUUAAUUUUAAUUAAUUUUUGUUUACUAUAAUAAUUACUAAUUUUUCUCGAGAGAAAAGGAAGUAGAAGUGUAUAAGGAAGAAAUAUCUCUUUUUUAAAUAUUUAGUAUAAGAGCCUUCAAUGAAAUUAUCCCUUUUUCGGAUUUAAUACUAUCUCGUAAUUGUUAUUGCAUAUUAUUCUUAUUUUGUAAUGGAUAGUGGAAGGGAUCUCAACUGAAGCUUUGAUACAUUAUUUAUAUUUUAUUCAUUAAAGCUAAAUGUGAUUAAACUGGAAACACAAAAAAUGAUCCAACAAAUAAGGAAUGAGUUGGGAAUACCAAUCUCUUUUUCACCUUUUAUCACUCACUGUUUUAAUUGAGUUUAAUAGCUAAACCAAAAGCAGUAUUAUUCAGAAUCAGGAAGAGAUUCGUGUCUCCAAACUUAC